UACGGGGGGGGCAAGCGUUGUUCGGAAUUAUUGGGCGUAAAGGGCGCGUAGGCGGCCAUGCGUGUCUUCCGUGAAAUCCCUCGGCUUAACUGAGGACGUGCGGAAGAAACUGCAAGGCUUGAGUCCGGGAGAGGGGGGUGGAAUUCCCAGUGUAGCGGUGAAAUGCGUAGAUAUUGGGAGGAACACCGGUGGCGAAGGCGGCCCCCUGGACCGGUACUGACGCUGAGGCGCGAAAGCGUGGGUAGCAAACGAG
rnacentral:rRNA from 1 species